CCUCUGCCGGGAGAGGAGGCCUGCGGGACUGCAAACUCCAGCAGGUCGUGUAGAACGCAGCUAUAGCAGAGUCGGCUGGGAAGACGCCUGCGCCGGGAGCACCCCUCCCCAACCCUCGUGCAAUCUGUACUUCACCGGCGGGGCAGAUCCUACCGGUACUACGCGGGAUUACUCCCCCGUGCCCUCCGCUAGGAUGUAAACGGCUUGAGGGCAGCUUCUGUGUCUGUGCUCAUCAGUGCUGUAGCAUCCAGUCCAGUGAAUGAUGAAUGAAUGAAAGCAGAGUGAGGAAAAGAGGGAGAGGAAGCUGCCUGGAAGAUGAGUCUUGUCAUUACGCUUCCUUCUCACAGAAGCCCAGAAACUUCAUCUGUGUGCGGCUCUGACACUUUGGAGAAUUAACCUCCCCAAGGUCAGGGCAGAGUGCUGACACCUCAUCCGAGUGCUGAACACAGGGCGAUGCUGGAAGUUUCUCUGCUUGUUAGUUUUCCAAUUAUAUUUCCUUAAGGAAAGGGAGUUGAGUCACAGUGAUCUUAAAAUGACACAAUACAGCUGCUCGAGGAAAU
rnacentral:lncRNA from 1 species